ACUUUGGCCCCAACUCCCGCUGUGUCCGAGCCCUGGCUAAGAGAGAGGACCUGACAGGGUGGCAGAUAGAAGAUCUGGAUCCCCAUUUCCUCAACUCCAUGUUUCAAGGAAGGAGCAGAAACUCCCCCAGUGAGCUCUGCUGACCUGUGUUAGCACCCAGAAGGGACAGCAGAGGUGCGCGUGGCAGGGCAUGGAGUGUCUUGGAGUCUUACUCAGCACUUCUUUCUCCUCGCAGGCCCACUGCUGACACCACAGACACUGCUGGCACGCCUGUUGGUGGUGGCAGGGAGCCCUGUUGCAGACCGCAAACUCCAAGCCACUGCCUUACUGCUCAUGCAAAACCUCCACAGCAGGAUCCACAGAGCUGUGGGGGCCAUGUGGGCUGCUGAGAUCCCCCUGCUGCUACAGUGUCUCCAAGUUCCUGAGGGCGUUGCUGGAGACCAUGGAGGAUGAGGCCUGGACCAAGGCCCUGAGCUGUGAGCUGAGCCAGUGGCUGAGCAGCUCUCCCAGCAGCUCUGGAGAAAAGUCUUUCCUGUACAAGGCUCUAGGGACAGCGCUAGGAGCUUGUAAGGGUGUCCUCCACAUCCAAGAGAAGCUGCUGCCACACCUGGAGGAAGCAAAUGCAGAGGUGUCAUCUGAGGCCCAGAUGAGCUCUCCUCUCCUCCAGCUUCUGGAAUGAUCUCUAUUCUCAGCCAUGCUGCUGAGAGCAACUUCCACCCAGUCCUGGACACACUCACCAUGUUUGCAUCCAGGCUGUGCAAAGGCCAGAAUGCGAGGAUUUCCAGAUGGAGCUGGACAGUGUGAGAGCUCAGGCCACACGCAGCGCUCUCAUCCUCGCCCAUGGCAGCUCAGCACUGCGUGCCUCCAAGGAACAGCUGCUCGCCCACCUGGAGGGAGACAUCAUGGGCAGCAUCCUGAUGCUCUACAGCUGCAGCUGCUGGAACUUGCUGAAGAAGUAUUUCUUGGGCAACCCCGUCUCCCCAGUGCCCCUCAAGGUGGUUCUGGCCCUGGAGCAGUUGAGGUAAGGGCCAGAAUCACAAAAUCACAGAAUGUCAGGAACUGGAAGGAACCUCAGAAGAUCUUCUAGUCCAAUCCCCCCGCUUUAGCAGGAACACCUAGAUUAGGUCACACAGGAAUGUGUCCAGGCAGUAGUAUGCAUCAUAAGUAAUGAAUGUGAAAAGGCAUUAAAUAUAUUACUAGAAUGAACUUUUAUGUGACUAUUAUAAUUUUCAAGUACUAUUGAAUAACAACAAUGGAAAAGUGUUUGUAUGAAUGUACUUGGGUAAUUAAUGGCAAAGAUUGAAGACAUCAUGUAGUGCCAAAUCAAAGACUGUAAAUACAUUCUUUUAAAGAGACUAAUGUACCCAUUGCUAGUUAAUAAUUAAAUAUAUUGCUAAUUAGUAACACAGUGAAACUUCAGAGCUUUAAUGUUAUGGCAUAAUUCAUUUUGACUUCAGUACUGUUAAGAUUAAUGCAUACCUCUUCAUGUAAGUAGCAAUGAAAUAAAUACAUAAAUAAAUUCUCCAUUACGUUGCCAAAUCUUUGCUAAAAUUCAGCUGCAUUAUACAGUAACUUAUUAUCUACUACUCUACAUAGGAGGAGAUUACAGUAUUAGAAAUGGGGCCAAUUAUUGAAAUCAGUGACAGUAACCACUCUUGUGUCUCUUCAUUUUUCUUCUUCAACUCAUGUGGAAACUUAUUUCACUUCUCAGUGGUCUGGAAUUCAAACAAAAGUUUAAGCUGUUACCUUUUUACAGUCCUUUAAAUGCAUUGCUUUUGCCAGAUGGAAGGUUCUACUAUAUGCUUCAUUCACAUAAAAAAAAAAAAAAAAGAAAAAAAGAAAAAAGGAAAAAAAACACAACCCGCAUUCUUUCCCAGCUUCAUUUUUUUCUGCUAACACACGCGUACUUGCAUGUUUUGAUCAGUGUAUUUUUUAAUUGUGUAAUUUACAUUCAUACAGGUUUAACAGCCAAGAGGUACUGGUUCAUAAGUAAACCCUGUCUCAUUUAUACAUAAAUGUAUUAAUCUGAGAGGUCACCCAGCACAUAAAUUUAAAAGUGCUACAGUAUUAAUUUGUUUAAAAUGAAUGGAAACUACCUCUUCAUGCUUAAGUAGCCAUCUGAGUCCAAACAGGAAUGGUCAUGCCAUUGUUAAUUUUCCUAUUAUUACAGGAUUGCAGAGGCCUUCUUUUGCUAGAUCAUGGCUGAUGGGAUUGUCACACUGUAGUGGAUUAAACAGAUGACAUGGAGCUGGGAGCCUGCAGUGGCUGUUUCAAUAGACUGAGACUCUCAGAUUCUCACUCAUGCCAUAGGCAGCACUGACAAAAUGCAGUGCAAAAAUUUAGAUGUUCUUUCAGGAUGUGAACUAAUUACCAGGCUAAAGAGAGAAAUGCAGUAAGAAUAUAAUACUUCCUAGAACAGCACCAAGUCAGGCAGCAUGGUCUUGACUGCUAUGGUGAAAUAAUAACCCCAAUGAGUGCAGGAGUAAUGUCUUCAAAAAUAAACUCAAAUUCUAGUCUCAGUAGAGACACUGGCACCGAUUUUCUCAUCUCCAGAGAUCUUUACCUCUUGCUUGUAAUUGCAUGUGUUCUGCACGGUCACUUUGCAGCUCUUUCCCUCCUUCUGCUACUGAUCUCUGGUACUAGGAAAGGAGAAAGACAAAUAUUGAUUUCCAAGUGUGGUUGGUCUCUUUCAUACAACCCAUCACUGUCCUUUCCAGUAUCUUUCAUCGCAGGACUUGACAUUUACCUGGAAAUAGACCUAUCUGCUCCUGUAUAUCACACUGUGCAUGCACAGAGAUUUAAGAGAAGAAGAAAAAAAAUAUUGAGGAAAGGGAAUGAUGAAUACUACCAUUUAGCAGAAUCCAUUCAGCCAGCCCAUUAAUUUCUUGUCAAAUCUCAUCAGGGAAGAGGAGCUUAAACUCUUCAAAUAUCACAGCUGAAGAGUCUAAGUUACUGUCAUGCUAAAUUACUAAUGAUGUUAGUCUAAAUUACUGUUGAUGCUAGUCUUUGUAUGUGAGAGAGGACUGUACAUAUUGCCCUCCCAGAUCCAUUUAGUCCAGUAUUAUCUCUCUCAUAGUUCCCAGGUAGUCAAAAGCAAAAGUCAUAUACUGUUGGUAAUUUUUGCAUACUAGGUCUAUAAGAUCUUUAGUACCUUGAAAACUUAUUUAAUUCCAGGAACUGAAACUUGCAAAGGAGGUGCCAUGGAAUCCAGAGUACCACUGUUCUUUUCAGUAAGUCUGCACAAGCCUAGCAAAGGAAUAACAAAGUAGAAGAAGACAGUAAUGUCAAUCCAUGACAAGAGAAGAUUUGGACUUUUAAAAUUUUAUUCUUCAACAAUUUAGAGGAAGCCAACUAUAUACUUUCUUAUGCCUUGAUUCCAGUUAGCCUGGAAUUUCAGAAUUAUUGUACCUGGACUUUCUGAACACUACAAAUCAUCCAGUUUCAUCUAGAAAACUUGCAUUAUAUACAAACAAGUUCACAAAGUCAUUUCAUUAGUUGGUGGACUCAGCAAUGCUACACCAAUGUAAUAGAUGAUUGCAGUGUACCUCAUGUCUUAAGAGGCAAGCAACGGGCAUGUGUGGGACAAGUAGUGUACCCAGAUGGCCUCCCAAAGAUCAAUGAUAUAAGUUAAGAUGUUUGGAAACAUCUUGGCCUUUAUAGCCCUAAAUCAGGUGAUCAGCAAUCAUUUAAAACUAUCUAGGCAUCCAAAAAUCAAAAUUAUCUGUAACAACUCAAUACACAGGAUUAUGCUGUUAAUUAUCUCACUUUUGACAUUAGCUAUUAUUUCUUUCUCUAGAGAAAAAGAAAACAACAAAAAUAAAACAAGAUGUCAACUGAUUUAUGCUAGCUUCUUGGCAUCUAAAGUUGGAGGGGGUAAUCAUUAUUAAGCUUUAGAGAACAAGGUUUAAUAGCAACUGCUACCUUUAAUUGAAGUAUUAUUGGCAUGUUGAAUGCUAUACAGGUGAUCUGGUUCUUGUUAACACCCAUGGAGCUAGUAGCUGAAAACACAGAUUUUAAUAGCAAAGCAACUACAUCAACAACUCACCCUUCCAUCCCUUCCUUCUCUUCUCUAGAUAUCCUCCAGCAAAUGCAAGUAUGAAGAACAUUAGUAAUUGCUUUUUAGUACAAAUUUUGUUUCAACAUCACUAAUGGUGAGCAGUAUCAUCUCCCUCGAUGUUUGCUAUUUUGCUGGACUGCUACUCAUACACUGCUAAGAAACACUACAUUAUUUUAAGCUUAAACUGCUUUAACUUCUUCUUCCAGCAACUGGAUUUUAUGUCUUUACCAGUAGUUUUGAAAAACCCUCCCAUAACACAUAUAUCACUUUUCAGCCUCCUCUUUUAUGGAAAGAAAUUCUGAGCUACUCUGAAUUAAAAUAAUUUCAUGAGCAUCCUUUGAAUUCUCAUUGUCUUUUAAUGUUCUUCCAGAGGGAGUGUUAGACCUGGAAAAAAUGUUACAUUAAAGAAUGCAGAGAUUAAAAUCUCUUCCUGAAUCGGCUGAGAGAUGAUAUAAAUACAGCCUUUCUACUACUCUUCUAGGAUGCAAUGGCGCUUGUCAGAGAAGCUCGGUUGUCAGCUGUUGUCAAGUGCUUCUUGCUAUGCCCUGGCAAUACAGAGGUGAGAGAGAACCCUCUGAGGACUAAAUGGAUCCUGAGUACUUAAAGACUUGUUCAGCUACAGUUCUGCUGCUACGUGAUAAAUACUAUGAAAAUACAGAAAUCUUUCAUUUUUUCUUUGUUCUUGAGGGUUUUUCUGUUUUAAUUAAUUAGUUAAAAAUUAAAAUAUAUAUAUUAAUAAAUUAAUUUUAAUUUAAUUUUUUUUUUGCUCUGCAUAAUAGUUAGAAUUAAUUUGUUUGACUGUGCUUUAUCUACCAGAUCUAUGACCUAACCAAUGUGCUGUAGUAAUGAAAAUUCCAUUUCAAAUGGAUGUACAGUAUUGUAGCUUUGUUUAAGUUAUCUACUGCAGGUGAUAUUCUUCAUGAAAUUGAUCUGAUGUCUCCAGCUGGUAACAAACUGUCUGAAUCUUUACCAGCAUUCUUUUUCCAACUGUUUCAUUAACUAAAGCAGAACAAAUAUGCAUAUGUAUUGCAGGAGUCCUCUAGGUUAUUGGCCUAUUGUUUUUCUCAUCUUAUUUUUAAAGGUCAAAACAUUCUGCAAUUCAGUAUACAUGAGAGAAAUGAAAUAUUCUUAAUAUCCUUCAAAGGUUGAAAGCAUUUUACCUAUGCCAUCUGGGAAGAACAAAUGUUGACAGCCAGUGUCGCAAGCAGAUUUUGCUGUGAACUUUUAAUGCCAGCCAGGCAAGGUGUGACGACAUCUGUCCUGUUUACCAUUCUUUUGCCCAGUGAGACUGCAAAGGGACUGUUGUCCUCCCCAGUGAGGCUGAGGCAUUUUCCCUCUGCUCAGUGUGGCCUGAGGCAUCCCUAGACAGGCUGCAGCCUACUGCAGGACUAUGCUGCCCAGUGCUGUGCAGGCCAGUGCAGGCCUCGUGUCUCCCCAGCUGACUGCAUUAAGAAAAGGAAGGGUCUCAGCAGGAGAAAGCAGACAAACAGGAGAAUGAGAGGUCAAAUAUUUACAGUGAAGCACCAGAGGUCUGAAGUCCCAUGGCAAAUGGUAACAGGGUGGCAGAGAAAACAAAUUAUGGGUUUAAGUAUAAACAUAAGCUAAUUUGCUGUAGAUUGCAGGACAAGGGAGGAUCAAAUAGUGUAAUUUACAAUGCUAAUUAGUGAUGGUAGGACAUGUUACUAUUUCCAUCACUUCAGAUUUUUGCAUCCAGGUACAGAAGAAGAUUUUUAAACUUCCAGGAAUGUUUCCUCAUGCCUUUCUGCAGCACAAAGAGGCCACAUACUGACAGUCAGGUAAAGCAAGUAUUUAUGGAGUGAUAUAAAGCAAGUGAGAAGAUAAAGGAUAACUGAGAAAACAUGAGUACUUUCACAUUAAUCAGCUCUAAGCUGAAAGACUGUAUAUUUUGAUAGCACCUCUGAAGUAUAUUGCAUAUUGAAAAUAAGUACAGAUGUGUAUUAACAUCUACCUACAUUUAUUCCAGUGUCAAUUUGUUUAAACAUCAGUUUUGAAGGGCUAAAUUCUGGGUUUUUUUUUUUUUUUUUUUUUUUUUCAG
ensembl:lncRNA